rnacentral:rRNA from 1 species
UACAGAGGUCUCAAGCGUUGUUCGGAUUCAUUGGGCGUAAAGAGCGUGUAGGCGGCCAGGUAGGUGGGUUGUGAAAACUGGAGGCUCAACCUUCAGACGUCGACCCAAACCCCCUGGCUAGAGUCCGGAAGAGGAGAGUGGAAUUCCUGGUGUAGCGGUGAAAUGCGCAGAUAUCAGGAAGAACACCCGUGGCGAAGGCGGCUCUCUGGGACGGUACUGACGCUGAGACGCGAAAGCGUGGGGAGCGAACAGG